rnacentral:rRNA from 1 species
UACGUAGGGUGCAAGCGUUGUCCGGAAUUAUUGGGCGUAAAGAGCUCGUAGGCGGUCUGUCGCGUCUGCUGUGAAAACCUAAGGCUCAACCUUGGGCUUGCAGUGGGUACGGGCAGACUAGAGUGCGGUAGGGGUGACUGGAAUUCCUGGUGUAGCGGUGGAAUGCGCAGACUAUCAGGAGGAACACCGAUGGCGAAGGCAGGUCACUGGGCCGUUACUGACGCUGAGGAGCGAAAGCGUGGGGAGCGAACAGG